rnacentral:rRNA from 1 species
CAGUGAGGAAUAUUGCGCAAUGGGGGCAACCCUGACGCAGCGACGCCGCGUGAGUGAGGAAGGCCUUCGGGUCGUAAAACUCUGUCAGAAGGGAAGAAGUGUUAGACGGUUAAUACCCGUGUAAUUUGACGGUACCUUCAAAGGAAGCACCGGCUAACUCCGUGCCAGCAGCCGCGGUAAUACGGAGGGUGCGAGCGUUGUUCGGAAUCACUGGGCGUAAAGGGCGCGCAGGCGGCGUGUUAAGUCAGAUGUGAAAUCCCACGGCUCAACCGUGGAAGUGCAUUUGAAACUGGCAUGCUUGAGUAUCAGAGGGGAAAGUGGAAUUCCCGGUGUAGAGGUGAAAUUCGUAGAUAUCGGGAGGAAUACCGGUGGCGAAGGCGACUUUCUGGCUGAAUACUGACGCUGAGGCGCGAAAGCGUGGGGAGCAAACAGGAUUAGAUACCCUGGUAGUCCACGCCGUAAACGAUGUGAACUAGAUGUGGAGGUGUUGAUCCCUUCGGUGUCGGAGCUAACGCAUUAAGUCACCGC